GACGAACGCUGGCGGCGUGCUUAACUCAUGCAAGUCGAACGGAAAGGCCCUGCUUGCAGGGUACUCGAGUGGCGAACGGGUGAGUAACACGUGGGUGAUCUGCCCUGCACUUCGGGAUAAGCCUGGGAAACUGGGUCUAAUACCGGAUAGGAGCCAUUUUUAGUGUGAUGGUUGGAAAGUUUUUUCGGUGUAGGAUGAGCUCGCGGCCUAUCAGCUUGUUGGUGGGGUAAUGGCCUACCAAGGCGGCGACGGGUAGCCGGCCUGAGAGGGUGGACGGCCACAUUGGGACUGAGAUACGGCCCAGACUCCUACGGGAGGCAGCAGUGGGGAAUAUUGCACAAUGGGCGCAAGCCUGAUGCAGCGACGCCGCGUGGGGGAUGACGGCCUUCGGGUUGUAAACUCCUUUCGCUAGGGACGAAGCUUUUUGUGACGGUACCUAGAUAAGAAGCACCGGCUAACUACGUG
rnacentral:rRNA from 1 species